rnacentral:rRNA from 1 species
UACAGAGGUGGCAAGCGUUGUUCGGAAUUACUGGGCGUAAAGGGCGUGUAGGCGGUUAGUUAAGUCUGGCGUGAAAGCUCUCGGCUAAACCGGGAGAGGUCGUUGGAUACUGGCUGACUAGAGGACGGUAGAGGCGUGUGGAAUUCCGGGUGUAGUGGUGAAAUGCGCAGAUAUCAGGAAGAACACCCGUGGCUAAGGCGGCUCUCUAGUACGGUACUGACGCUGAGACGCGAAAGCGUGGGGAGCGAACAGG